UACCCACUUAAAUGAAUCGUAAAUAGUCAAUUAGAACAAUGGCAAAAAUCGUAAAUAGAGAGUGGUAAAUUUUGAUAAGUGCUGAGGGUGGAAAGGUCUUUUGAAAAAAAAAAAAAAAUUCCACUAACAAUCAGACUUGAGCUUCCCGUGUAAGCCAUCAAAGAACCAUUUUUCUUUGGGAGUUUUCUAGAACAAGUGAGACGGUGAGUGGUGGAUGAUGGGUGGCUUGGGUAGUGAGUCCGGCUGGGUCAAAAUAGUUUGAAGCUUAUGAUUGUUGUGUCUACAGCUGGGUUUUCUCUUGUGAAGUGUUGGAAGGACGAUUUGCAGUACAAGGGUGUGAGAAACUCUUUAAGAAUAGAGACUAGGGCCAUGCUCAAGAAUGUUCUUGAAGGGAAAUUGAAGACUUGCGUUUACGAAGAUAUAUGAGCUGCUGGAAUUUUUGUUGAAGUUGGAAAUUUGGUGGAAAUACACAGGGCAAGCACCAAGUGGUGCUAAAUGUGAGAUUUUAUUAUUUAAAAUGGUAAAUGGAACUUAUUGGAGCCUAAUGAGGUCAUAUGUGAAUCUUUUGUAGUGAACCAGGUGAAUAAAAAAAAAUCAUCAUCAAGGAGGCAAGGAAAGUAAUAAAGCUUUCAAGGGUGACUAGUUGACCGGUGAACUACGCGACUACUGGAGGAAUUAGAUGGUGUUUUAAUUGCUAAUACCAGAUAUAGUUGAUCCAGUAGAGCCAGAUCUUCCCACAGCCAGAUAGACUUUCAACCUCCUUAUUCUGGUGAGCCCAGCACAUAUAGUGCGGGUGUGAUUAUGUAUUAUUUUGGACUCAUGUAUCACCGUAUUUUAUCGACUCUAGAUGCUCCGUUAACUACAGAUAAGGUAUAAUGAUAUGUAAGGCUAUGGGCCAGACUGUGUUGUAGGUAUUUUCAUAUCACGUAUGUUUUGUUUAUUUGAUUAUAUUAGUGCCAAACCACCUGUUCAGAGGCU